rnacentral:rRNA from 1 species
UACGAAGGGGGCUAGCGUUGUUCGGAAUUACUGGGCGUAAAGCGUGCGCAGGCGGCUUCUCAAGUCAGGGGUGAAAGCCCAGAGCUCAACUCUGGAAUUGCCUUUGAGACUGAGUGGCUUGAGUACGGGAGAGGUGAGUGGAAUUCCCAGUGUAGUGGUGGAAUGCGUAGAUAUCGGGAGGAACACCAGUGGCGAAGGCGGUUGCCUGGGGCUUUGCUGACGCUGAUGCGCGAAAGCGUGGGGAGCGAUCCGG